rnacentral:rRNA from 1 species
UUGGAGGGCAAGUCUGGUGCCAGCAGCCGCGGUAAUUCCAGCUCCAAUAGCGUAUAUUAAAGUUGUUGCAGUUAAAAAGCUCGUAGUUGAAUUUCGGGGUCAGUAGGUUGGUCAUGCCACUGGUAUGUACUGGUCUCACUGAUUCCUCCUUCCUGAUGAACUGUAAUGCCAUUAAUUUGGUGUUGCAGGGAAUCUGGACUGUUACUUUGAAAAAAUUAGAGUGUUUAAAGCAGGCUAACGCCUGAAUACAUUAGCAUGGAAUAAUGAAAUAGGACGUUCGAUCCUAUUUUGUUGGUUUCUAGGAUUGACGUAAUGAUUAAUAGGGAUAGUUGGGGGCAUUAGUAUUCAAUUGUCAGAGGUGAAAUUCUUGGAUUUAUUGAAGACUAACUACUGCGAAAGCAUUUGCCAAGGAUGUUUUCAUUAAUCAAGAACGAAAGUUAGGGGAUCGAAGACGAUCAGAUACCGUCGUAGUCUUAACCAUAAACUAUGCCGACUAGGGAUCGGAUGAUGUUAAUUUUUUAAUGACUCAUUCGGCGCCUUACGGUU